CCUACGGGCGGCUGCAGUGGGGAAUCUUAGACAAUGGGCGCAAGCCUGAUCUAGCCAUGCCGCGUGAGCGAUGAAGGCCUUAGGGUUGUAAAGCUCUUUCAGGGGGGAAGAUAAUGACUGUACCCCCAGAAGAAGCCCCGGCUAACUCCGUGCCAGCAGCCGCGGUAAUACGGAGGGGGCUAGCGUUGUUCGGAAUUACUGGGCGUAAAGCGCACGUAGGCGGACUGGAAAGUCAGAGGUGAAAUCCCAGAGCUCAACUUUGGAACUGCCUUUGAAACUCUCAGUCUUGAGGUCGAGAGAGGUGAGUGGAAUUCCGAGUGUAGAGGUGAAAUUCGUAGAUAUUCGGAGGAACACCAGUGGCGAAGGCGGCUCACUGGCUCGAUACUGACGCUGAGGUGCGAAAGCGUGGGGAGCAAACAGGAUUAGAUACCCUUGUAGUC
rnacentral:rRNA from 1 species